rnacentral:rRNA from 1 species
AUUGAACGCUGGCGGCAUGCCUUACACAUGCAAGUCGAACGGCAGCACGGGGGCAACCCUGGUGGCGAGUGGCGAACGGGUGAGUAAUGCAUCGGAACGUACCUGGUAGUGGGGGAUAGCCCGGCGAAAGCCGGAUUAAUACCGCAUACGCACUACGGUGGAAAGCGGGGGACCGAAAGGCCUCGCGCUAUCAGAGCGGCCGAUGUCGGAUUAGCUAGUUGGUGGGGUAAAAGCUCACCAAGGCUACGAUCCGUAACUGGUCUGAGAGGACGACCAGUCACACUGGGACUGAGACACGGCCCAGACUCCUACGGGAGGCAG